rnacentral:rRNA from 1 species
AUGCACGCUGGCGGCGUGCCUAAUACAUGCAAGUCGAGCGAACAGACGAGGAGCUUGCUCCUCUGACGUUAGCGGCGGACGGGUGAGUAACACGUGGAUAACCUACCUAUAAGACUGGGAUAACUUCGAGAAACCGGAGCUAAUACCGGAUAAUAUAUUGAACCGCAUGGUUCAAUAGUGAAAGACGGUUUUGCUGUCACUUAUAGAUGGAUCCGCGCCGCAUUAGCUAGUUGGUAAGGUAACGGCUUACCAAGGCAACGAUGCGUAGCCGACCUGAGAGGGUGAUCGGCCACACUGGAACUGAGACACGGUCCAGACUCCUACGGGAGGCAGCAGUAGGGAAUCUUCCGCAAAGGGCGAAAGCCUGACGGAGCAACGCCGCGUGAGUGAUGAAGGUCUUCGGAUCGUAAAACUCUGUUAUUAGGGAAGAACAAAUGUGUAAGUAACUAUGCACGUCUUGACGGUACCUAAUCAGAAAGCCACGGCUAACUACGUG